rnacentral:rRNA from 1 species
UACGUAGGGGGCUAGCGUUGUCCGGAAUUAUUGGGCGUAAAGCGCGUGUAGGCGGCUCGGUAAGUCUGCUGUGAAAGUCGGGGGCUCAACCCUCGAAAGCCGGUGGAUACUGUCGAGCUCGAGUACGGAAGAGGCGAGUGGAAUUCCUGGUGUAGCGGUGAAAUGCGCAGAUAUCAGGAGGAACACCGGUGGCGAAGGCGGGUCUCUGGGCCGAUACCGACGUGAGGAGCGAAAGCAUGGGUAGCGAACAGG